CCUACGGGUGGCUGCAGUAGGGAAUUUUCGGCAAUGGGGGGAACCCUGACCGAGCAACGCCGCGUGAACGAAGAAGUUAUUCGUAAUGUAAAGUUCUUUUAACAGGGAAGAAAGAGAAAUUUGACGGUACCUGAAGAAUAAGCUCCGGCUAACUACGUGCCAGCAGCCGCGGUAAUACGUAGGGAGCGAGCGUUAUCCGGAAUUAUUGGGCGUAAAGGGUGCGUAGAUGGCAUAGUAAGUCUUUUGUAAAAAUGCUGGGCUCAACCCCGGAACUGCCAUUAUGACUAUGUAUCUAGAGUAAUGGAGAGGAUAGCGGAAUACCCAGUGUAGAGGUGAAAUUCGUAGAUAUUGGGUAGAACACCGGUGGCGAAGGCGGCUAUCUGGCCAUUUACUGACGCUGAGGCUCGAAAGCAUGGGGAUCAAACAGGAUUAGAUACCCGAGUAGUC
rnacentral:rRNA from 1 species